AGCAGCCGCGGUAAUUCCAGCUCCAAUAGCGUAUAUUAAAGUUGUUGCAGUUAAAAAGCUCGUAGUUGAAUUUCGGGGUUAGUAGGUUGGUCAUGCCUCUGGUAUGUACUGGUCUCACUGAUUCCCCCUUCCUGAUGAGCCGUAAUGCCAUUAAUUUGGUGCUGCGGGGAAUUUGGACUGUUACUUUGAAAAAAUUAGAGUGUUUAAAGCAAGCUAACGCUUGAAUACAUUAGCAUGGAAUAAUGAAAAUAGGACGUUCGAUCCUAUUUUGUUGGUUUCUAGGAUUGACGUAAUGAUUAAUAGGGAUAGUUGGGGGCAUUAGUAUUCAAUUGUCAGAGGUGAAAUUCUUGGAUUUAUUGAAGACUAACUACUGCGAAAAGCAUUUGCCAAGGAUGUUUUCAUUAAUCAAGAACGAAAGUUAGGGGAUCGAAGACGAUCAGAUACCGUCGUAGUCUUAACCAUAAACUAUGCCGACUAGGGAUCGGAUGAUGUUAAUUUUUUAAUGUACUUCAUUCGGCGCCUUACGGGUAAAACCG
rnacentral:rRNA from 1 species